UCCUUCGUAGCUUAGUUGGUUAAAAGUACUAGUCUAUCGUACUGAGGGUCGUGGGUUCGAGUCCCAUCGAAGGUAA